GAACUUGUUCGAAAACUGUUGUGUGUACCUUCUGCACAGUUCUUUCUUGGAUUCGAGUAUUGCAAUGUUGAAUUGUAAUCUACUACCAUAGGCGGGUACUAGAACACUAAGGUAUUCUCGUACAUGGAGUCUGGACAACCGAGUUUCUACUAUACUCGAUCAUUGGGAAGUCAAGCUUCUACUGCACUCGGUCACUAGAAGACCGAUCUUAUAUUAUACUUAGCCACUAAAACACAAAGUUGUUUUUGUACUCAUUGAAGUCUUCUUAUACUCAGGUAUUGAAAUCCUAAGUUUUUCCUAUAUUGGGUUGUUGACUUACUCUUGUGGUAGAUAUCAUCAUGCCGAGUCUUUUUUUUGUACUCUUGGCAUUGGUAAGUCGUUUUACUUUUUUGGUGCUUAGGCACUAUAAUGCUAGGCUUCUUUUGUACUCGGACACUGAAACACCGAGUUGCACUUGCACUUUAGUGGAUUAAGAUUGUGUAUCGAUUAGUUGGAAAUGGUGACAGUGAUAACUCUUGGACGAUAUUACUCGUGGUUAUGAAAACGGUUGGCAUAACUCCUUAUGGUAGUGAAGGUUUGUGUGCAACUUGAUUGUUGUGGUUAUGCUCAUGGCAACAACCUCCGUUUGAAGGGUGUGUUCCUACGGUCAAUGACUUAAUGUUUUGCUCUUGUAGGUUAUGGGACCUGACCAUCCUUUCACGUCAGUGAGGUGGACUUUAUGGUUGUUGCAAUGAUUAAGUUGUUCCCGGUGAUUGUGUCUUAGGUUGUUACUCUCGAAAUAACAAAAAUGAAAUGAGUCGAGCUUUUACCGUCAAGCACGUGUGGGUCGAGCUUCAUGUGGGCGAGCCUUGCAUCCUUUGAUGGCCAAGCUUCGUGGCCAAUCUUUAUUCUUUAUUGGUUGAGCAUUGCGACAGAACUUUAUUCUCUAUUGGCCGAGCUUCAUGACUAACCUUUAUCCUUUGUCGGUUGAGCUUCGUAGUUGAGAUUUAUUCUCUGUUGGCCGAGCUUUGAGGCCGAGGUUGUCAUCUUAUAACACUUGGUUGUAGAACUUUGUUAUUAAUGGAGGCGCUACAAUCGCUUUGUUAUAGGGUGUCUUACCACUGUGUGAGUAUGACAUGUUCGGGUGUGCUUUAUAGACAAUUUUCUUUGUGUUGAGAAUGCUCUUUUUCCCGAUUGACUCGCCUGUCGAGGUUUUUGGUGGUGUGCUCAGGAAGUCUAAUGUCCUUCCCGCUUUACCCUUUUGCUAAGAUGCUUAGUAUAUCUCAGAAUUUCCCAACUCUCCAUCUCGGAAGGGGCUAUGAUGUCUAUUGCGAUAUUAUCUUGAGUGGUAGGACCGUCUAUGAGUCUCCUUAGUCAUGCACCAAGUUGAUUUGUUUUGAGCUCUUCGAGGAUUUUUGCCGAGUAGAUCGACUACCACUCACUUGGCUCUUGCCGGUUUGUCCGCUUUUUGUGAUGUUCUCUAGAAUCGUGGGACUCCACUGAUUUUGCAUUUUGGUCUAGGUUACGAUAUUUGUGCCAACGAGGCUCUCAUUGGAAGUGGUGGUCGUUCACAACUUUCUCUCAUUCUGUGACAGGCUAACUAGCUUUGUUCUCUCCAAGUCCAACGUUGAGGAGAUCAGUCUUGGUUAGAGUGGCGGGAGCGUUCAUGAGUCUCUCCCAUUUUGUGCCAAGUUGACCUGCUCUGGUGUUGAGGAGAACAAUCUCAGCUUCUACUGGAAUCUUGCUGAGCUUAUGGGUUGUGUCUUGUUAAGGAAUUACAAGGGUCGUGCAUUGUGUCUGAAGUUUCUGGAGUUCGUGUAGAUUAGCUUGUUGUUGAGCCUACAUGGAUUCCAACUCGGUGUCAUAUUGCUUGCGCUUUUUGUUAUGCUAUUAUAUGAGCUUUUGCAUUUGCUGCUUUAGGGUCGCCACCUGGUUAACUUCCAUCUCAUGGGCGAGUUAAGCAGUCCUUCGUGUGGUGACCAUGUGGAGGUGAGGUCAAGGGAGAGUUUUAUUGGGGCCUCACGGUGAGCACCAAAUGAUCUUAGUGGGAUCUUGAACGUGAAUUUGCAUACAUGAGGCAAGAUCAUAGCGGUGGCUUGAAAGCUCUUGUUGGUCAAAAUUGAAUCCCUUAUUAUUCAGAGGGAGAAGAUCCACCUGAAAAGACUCUCUAUCGCUUAAGUCAGUAAAGGAGUUUAUGAUCUUUUAAUAUAGUGAAUAUAAGUAAUUAUGAAGUAAGUAUUCCUUAAAGAAUACUAGUUAUAUUUAUAUGGAUCGUAGAUUCAUAUUCUUAUUAAAAUAAUAUUUAUUUAAAGCAUAUAAUAACAUUGUUAUCAAUAAUAACAUAAUGAUAUCUCAUCAUAAAUAAUAACUAUAAUAUCAAACU
rnacentral:sRNA from 1 species